UGGCUGUGAUGACAACAAGAUUACUUGUUCAUACCUUAAUUUCAGUUGAGGACCAAAUCUGAUGACUUUAUUUGUGCGUGUCUGAGCCGG
rfam:Triticum aestivum genome assembly, contig: Triticum_aestivum_CS42_TGACv1_scaffold_328831_4BS